ACGAACGCUGGCGGCGUGCUUAACACAUGCAAGUCGAACGGAAAGGCCCUGCUUGCAGGGUACUCGAGUGGCGAACGGGUGAGUAACACGUGGGUGAUCUGCCCUGCACUUCGGGAUAAGCUUGGGAAACUGGGUCUAAUACCGGAUAGGAACCAUCUUUAGUGUGGUGGUUGGAAAGUUUUUUCGGUGUAGGAUGAGCUCGCGGCCUAUCAGCUUGUUGGUGGGGUAAUGGCCUACCAAGGCGGCGACGGGUAGCCGGCCUGAGAGGGUGUACGGCCACAUGGGGACUGAGAUACGGCCCAGACUCCUACGGGAGGCAGCAGUGGGGAAUAUUGCACAAUGGGCGCAAGCCUGAUGCAGCGACGCCGCGUGGGGGAUGAAGGCCUUCGGGUUGUAAACUCCUUUCGCUAGGGACGAAGCUUUGUUGUGACGGUACCUAGAUAAGAAGCACCGGCUAACUACGUG
rnacentral:rRNA from 1 species